AUUGAACGCUGGCGGCAGGCCUAACACAUGCAAGUCGAGCGCGAAAGGCUUUCGGGCUGAGUAGAGCGGCGGACGGGUGAGUAACGCGUAGGAAUCUACCUGGUAGUGGGGGACAACUUGGGGAAACUCAAGCUAAUACCGCAUACGCCCUAUGGGGGAAAGCGGGGGACCGUCGGGCCUCGCGCUAUCAGAUGAGCCUGCAUAGGAUUAGCUAGUUGGUGGGGGAAAGGCUCACCAAGGCGACGAUCCUUAGCUGGUCUGAGAGGAUGAGCGGCCACACUGGGACGGAGACACGGCCCAGACUCCUACGGGAGGCAGCAGUGGGGAAUAUUGCGCAAUGGGGGCAACCCUGACGCAGCCAUGCCGCGUGUGUGAAGAAGGCCUUCGGGUUGUAAAGCACUUUAAGUGGGGAAGAAAAGCUGUUGCCUAAUAAGCCACAGCCCUGACAUUACCCACAGAAUAAGCACCGGCUAACUCCGUGCCAGCAGCCGCGGUAACAC
rnacentral:rRNA from 1 species